AUUGAACGCUUGCGGCAGGCCUAACACAUGCAAGUCGAACGAGUGGCGGACGGGUGAGUAAUGUCUGGGAAACUGCCUGAUGGAGGGGGAUAACUACUGGAAACGGUAGCUAAUACCGCAUACCAUCAGAUGUGCCCAGGUGGGAUUAGCUAGUUGGUGGGGUAACGGCUCACCAAGGCGACGCUCCCUAGCUGGUCUGAGAGGAUGACAAGCCACACUGGCACUGUGACACGGUCCAGCCUCCUACGGGAGGCAGCAGUGGGGAAUAUUGCACAAUGGGCGCAAGCCGGAUGCAGCCAUGCCGCGUGUAUGAAGAAGGCCUUCGGGUUGUAAAGUACUUUCAGCGGGGAGGCGUUACGAGAAGAAGAAGCACCGGCUAACUCCGUGCCAGCAGCCGCGGUAAUAG
rnacentral:rRNA from 1 species